GACGAACGCUGGCGGCGUGCUUAACACAUGCAAGUCGAACGAAGAGCGAUGGACGCUUGCUUCUCUCAAUCUUAGUGGCGAACGGGUGAGUAACGCGUAAUCAACCUGCCCUUCAGAGGGGGACAACAGUUGGAAACGACUGCUAAUACCGCAUACGAUCUAAUCUCGGCAUCGAGGAUAGAUGAAAGGUGGCCUCUACAUGUAAGCUAUCACUGAAGGAGGGGAUUGCGUCUGAUUAGCUAGUUGGAGGGGUAACGGCCCACCAAGGCGAUGAUCAGUAGCCGGUCUGAGAGGAUGAACGGCCACAUUGGGACUGAGACACGGCCCAGACUCCUACGGGAGGCAGCAGUGGGGAAUCUUCCGCAAUGGACGAAAGUCUGACGGAGCAACGCCGCGUGAGUGAUGACGGCCGUCGGGUUGUAAAGCUCUGUUAAUCGGGACGAAAGGCCUUCUUGCGAACAGUUAGAAGGAUUGACGGUACCGGAAUAGAAAGCCACGGCUAACUACGUG
rnacentral:rRNA from 1 species